AGCAGCCGCGGUAAUUCCAGCUCCAAUAGCGUAUAUUAAAGUUGUUGCAGUUAAAAAGCUCGUAGUUGAACUUCAGGCCUGUCCAGACGGUCCGCCUUAAUUGGUGUGUACUGUCCUUGGGUGGGUCCUACCUUCUGGCGAAGCGGCAUGGCCUUAAUUGGUUGUGUCGGGGAACCAGGACUUUUACUGUGAAAAAAUUAGAGUGUUCAAAGCAGGCAAAUAUGCUCGAAUACAUUAGCAUGGAAUAAUGGAAUAGGACGAUGGUUCUAUUUUGUUGGUUCUAGGACCGUUGUAAUGAUUAAUAGGGAUAGUUGGGGGCAUUAGUAUUCAAUUGUCAGAGGUGAAAUUCUUGGAUUUAUUGAAGACUAACUACUGCGAAAGCAUUUGCCAAGGAUGUUUUCAUUAAUCAAGAACGAAAGUUAGGGGAUCGAAGACGAUCAGAUACCGCCGUAGUCUUAACCAUAAACUAUGCCGACUAGGAAUCGGGCGAUGUUGUACAAAUGACUCGCUCGGCACCUA
rnacentral:misc_RNA from 1 species